rnacentral:misc_RNA from 1 species
UACAGAGGGUGCGAGCGUUAAUCGGAUUUACUGGGCGUAAAGCGUGCGUAGGCGGCUUUUUAAGUCGGAUGUGAAAUCCCCGAGCUUAACUUGGGAAUUGCAUUCGAUACUGGGAAGCUAGAGUAUGGGAGAGGAUGGUAGAAUUUCCUGUGUAGCGGUGAAAUGCGUAGAUAUAGGAAGGAACACCAGUGGCGAAGGCAGGCAUCUGGCCUAAUACUGACGCUGAGGUACGAAAGCAUGGGGAGCAAACAGG